rnacentral:tRNA from 1 species
GCUGACAUAGCUCAAUUGGCAGAGCACUGGUUUUGUAAACCAGCGGUUAAGAGUUCGAUUCUCUUUGUCAGCUCCA